GAGGGGGGUAGGGACUUAAGAGGGGAAUGAAAAAGAGGGUAGCACAUUUGUCAAGGAUGUCUUGUUGAAUACCAGCGCCUUGUAGACGAGGGGUUGGUAAUAAUGAUGGAUAUGAUGUUCUUUCUGUGUGUAUGCUAUGAUAAUUCCAUUUGGAAGCGGAUGAUACGUACACAGGCAGCUUUCACACACGUUUGGCGCGAGGAGCAACGUGUGGCUGCUGCUUGCGUGGCAUUUACGUGAGUGGAUUGGCACUGCACUAAGGGCCAACCUCAGUUACUACGGAGGAGCGGUGGAAAGGCGGGAGGACGAAGAAGGCUUUCCUUUCCGUCUCACGGUGCAUGGCCGAAACACGGAUCGCCUUGCGGGUACAUUGUGUCGCUCCUGAGGAGCCAUAUGGCACCCUACAUCCCAUUCCCCAGUUGCGCUUCCCUUUUGGGGUCGACUUGAUUUGGGCGGAAGGAAGCUCGUGGAGACCAACAAUCUGGUUAUGGUGGAAAGGCUUUGGGCAGGGCACUUUCACAGGGCACUGCAUAAAUUUCCCGCUUCGUAACUGAAGCUAGUGCUUGUCGUGCUAGGCAUAAUACUUCUCUCCCGCUGCGUUUCGCAUGGAGAGCCGCCUGGUGUGCAUGACGAGAGCGAGAGUGUGCACUUGGACGGUGCUGUAUGUGCCCAACUGGCAUGAGAGAUGAAAGGAAAGGGGGCAUCCUGGAUUAAUGGCGUCGAUCAUCUGGAGGAUUAAUCGCCCAGUCGCGCGCGCGUACGUGCAAAAUGCGUGCGUGCAGGCGUGCGUUUGUAUUCGAUUUCGCCGUUUUGCUGGUUUGCAGCAGCCGAUAUUUGCUCGCACGUAAUCAACCAUAACGCACUUUAGUAGCAAAACAACUGUUGAUGUGUAUGCAUACGAAGCAUGCAAAGAAGAAAAAAAUGUGUGCCUGAGCACCGCGAACCGGUUUAGUGUGUUUCAUUGACAACAGUUAAAUGUUGUUUUUUUGGACAUGAUCACUUGGCGUGCAGCUCCUGAGCUGCAUGACAUAAAGGACAUGAUGUGCUUGCUCCGUUUGUUUACAACCGUUAAUUCAACAAGGUCUCCAUACCGUACCAACAUGUACAGCCAUAUCUGACGCCUGUAACAAGAGCUGCUCUUCCACUGCAGGAAUCAUCUACAAGCAGGUUUAUCAUACUGGCAAGCAUUCACAAGCAGAAAUUUAAACUGGCCAAUUAUUUACCAGCCGAUCCAAUAAUUGCUCAACCGGUUUUAUUCCUUGUUCACAUUUCAAGCUGCACAAUCAGUUUUCUGAGCUGCGGAAUCCCAGCGGGAUCUUAACCACUCAGCCCACAAUACAGGAAACAUGAAAUGCAUCCCAGCUCAGCUGCUUAUUACUGUGAGAUGGCUUUGCCCCAUGGCUCCUGACUCCAUCCUGGAGGACUCACACUGGCCCUGCGCGAGGAGGGGACGCCCUUCUGGAUCCUACAGCCAGAAACGCCCCGGGGCUGGGUGGCAUCCGCACACCAACGCCGCAACACACAUGCCCACAGCUCGGAAUCCCCCCGCCAGCUUCCCAACGUCUCAAUCUCAAUCCCGCUGCCCCCCAGCAGCCGCCUACCUCGCUAAAGCCCGGCACGCGUAGUUCCGUGUGCGGCAUCCGUAGGGCCGGCGGUGCCGGCGGCGCUGGCAGCGACAACGAGGUGGUAGUUGCCGCCACCACAGUUGCGGUCCCCAGC
rnacentral:lncRNA from 1 species